GCGGGAGCCGGUGAAGCCGUGGGAGAAGACGACCAUGUAGCGCGCGUCCUCCUUGCGCGCCCCGGACUCGGCGUAGGCGAGGUGGCGGCCGUCGCUGAGCCGGACCCUGGGCGCCGUGACGGGCGGCCCGCCGGGCGCCCCGCAGAUCCGCGGCGGCGGGGGCGGCUUCACUGCCCCGUAGAUCCACCGGCCCAGCGCGCCCGCCAGCGGGCCCAUGGGCGACCCCGUUCCGCUCCCCCGGCCCCUCCUGGCGCCGCAGCUCAGCACGGGCGCCUUGCAGAGCAGCUCCAUUGCCGGGCUGGCGCGGUGGAUGUGGUGGGAGUGGACCUCUCCUAA
rnacentral:rRNA from 1 species